UUACAUUGUAUUGGCAUAUUGCUAUCCUUUGAGGAAUAAGAAAAAUGUUUAUUUGCUUACUUUGUGCACAUAUAAUAAAAAGUCUUUCCAAUUAGAAAACAAAUGAAAACAAAAGGAUAAGCUUAAAUAUAUUUCUGUUUAGUAUAUGAUCUCUUCAUUGUUUUCUUGCACAAACAACAGCGAGGGCAAGAUUAGCCAUUAAUACACGGACAAUAACUACAUGUCGCCAAAAUGCUAACACCACACCUCUUGGAUAUUUUGAAUUAUAUGAAAUAGUAUUAAAUAUUUAGCUUAGAAAAUAACAGCACGGAGUGGCAACAUGUCGCCAAAAUGCCUAAAUCACACUUCUUGGAUAUUUUGAAUUCUUUUUGAAUUAGUAUUAAAUAAUUGGACAAAUUGUGCAGAUAUGCUGGAACCACGGAUAGUAACAGAAACAAAAAGAUAUUAUAUGUGAAGUGGUACAAAAAGUCCUAGUGAUAUUGGGGUACAAUGCUAUGAAUCAUUCAAAAAUAUUACAACAAAGAUUUCCUGCUUAUUUGCAAUAGGUGGUUUAAUUAACUAGUCGUGGUGAACGUUAUUGGGAAAUAUGAUUUUGAGCAAGACAAUGUGAUCUUCGUACUGCCUUGCAAGUGCGUGAUGCGUUUGAUACUCUCAUUUUAUCAUAAAAAUAAUAUAUGAUACCUGCUUGAGUUCAAUGAAUUAUAGCGAAAAUACCUCAUUGAGAAGUACAAACGAAGAGAAUGUUUUAAGUAUUUUUAAGUAACAGUUUUUAAAUAUUUAUAUGUAUAUUGUGAUAAAAAAAAUGUUUUCGAAAAUGAUAAAAAAGAAAUGCAUUCCAAAUUUUUAAUAUGCACAAGUUUUCCGCACCAAAUGUACUAAAUGUUUAUAAAAAUUAAUAUGAAUUCAUAUAAAAUAUAUUCAAAAUAUUCUAAUAAUAUUAAAUGUUUCAUAUUUUUUAUUGUCAAUUGGAUUGGCGACAGUUUAUUUCUGUACACUGCAGUAAUGCAAUUUAAGAAAAAUAUAUCCUACCAGAAAUGCUUAAAAUAUUUAAUAAUGUAAUUAUAAACACAAUGGUUUACUCACCUGAUUGAUUAGACGGCAUGAAAUUUUA